rnacentral:snoRNA from 1 species
CCCCUCUCAGGGUCACACCUGGAGAGUUUCCAGUACUCUACCAGUCACGACUACAGGAGGGAGAGUCAAACAGAGGCCUACCCAUUCCAUUCCUAGCCUUGGGCAGUGGCUAGCGAGUGGAAGGCCAUCUGCUACAAGU